rnacentral:misc_RNA from 1 species
AUUGUCCACUCCUCGAUGAACCAUUGAAGAUAAGAAAUUAACAUUACAAAGAAUCAAGAAUCUCUCCUGUUUCCUAACAACCCUACUUCUAUCUUAAUGGAUGUAGCAUAAGAUUUCACCAAUACAUACAACUUAUACACAAGCAACUUAAUAGUACAACGUGACCUGGUCACAUACCUUCUUCUUCCCCUUGUUGGGGAGAAAAGAAAGGAAAAAUCGGGAACGAUGACUGACAUGCUUUACUACAUAUCUUGCAAGAAAAGACUGCUAAACAAAAAUCAAGUAAUCUGUAUCUCACACCAUCUCUAUACUGCCGUCUAUAAAGAACCUCAAGCCAUGCCUCUGCAUAAGUAUCUUGAUGUUCACAUCUGCAACUUUUUGUCCCAAAGUAUACUUUUGUGCGGAAAAAAACUCUUCCAAAUAAGCCAAAGGCCAGAACCCUGGAGAGCAGCAGCCUAUAUUCUUCACAUCACCCUUUGCAUAGCAAUCUCCAGUUGACGCGGUGUGCUAAUCCAAGGUACUUAUCUCAGAUUUGACACUUCGCAAAAUUGAUACCAAACUUUGAUAUUUCUCACCAUCCAAUGAUCAAUUGUGGCAACUCUGGAGGAUCACUGCUUAUAAGAUUUGCCCACAGAUUUGCAAGAGUGAGGAGGUAAUGUUCUCCAUUCCAGUCAAUAAGUUCCAUACCUGGCAAUACUUCCAAAGUUAGGAGUGAUAGCCUACACACUUCUUUCUGAGCAUAGAGAUGCUUUUGAAGGGUAAGUCCAUCAAGACCAUGAAUUAACUUGAUAGAGUCCAGCAAUGAAGCAACAGAACUCCCAUCUCCAGAAGCAGAAUCUAACAUACUCGACAGAGCUUCUCCAAGACCCAAAGAGGACCAGAUACUGUGACAUUCAUCUAGCAUAGAAUGAAUACUUCCAUACUGAGCAGAAUCCAACCAAGUCCAGGGUUUGCAUAGUUUCACAGAUGCUUCAAGCACUACAGCAACCCUAUAAAUCUCACCCAGGGCUCGGAUGAAUGCCCUUCCUCUGGGGUGAGAUAACACAUGACUCUGACCAUUCAUUUCCAAUAUCUUCUUCCAGAUACAGGAGCCAUGUUGCAACUCUUGAGCACAAGCUGAGAUCAUUUUAUACCAUACUGAAACAUACAUUGAUUGCUCCUCCAAAGAUCCUGAUCUCAAAAUUUUUAGCAUCAUUGUAGCAUGUCGUAUAAGAUCCACUGUUGUUUCCAAAUCAUUUUCCACCAAUGAUAGUCUCCUCGAUAAGUGGUACUCUGAUUCAAGUGCUUGAAAUUUUGAGUCCUGCAAAAUCUCAAUAAAUGCACUCAUACAAGCAUUCUGAGAUAAAUGUCCUUCCAAGUGGUCACCUUUGCACAUAACAUUAUCCUGGUCAAAAUCCUUGCAAACCUCCUCAAUUUCCUUGUUAAGAGUCAAAAUUUUUGCUUCCUCCACUGGAAGUCCAUCAAUGCUUUGAGCUCCCUUAAGGUCAUCGAGAUGGCACUUAGCAUGAAAGCACAACUUAUUCCUUAAUUUAGAGUACAACUCCAAAUAAUUAUCCAGAUUGAGAUCGGAAAAGCUUCUCUGUGGUGGAUCCUCAAAAGUAAGAAGAGAAAUGUCAUUAUAUGUUCUCAUUUGAGAAGAGCCGUCCUUAAAUUCCCAUUCACCAUCAUCCAGGUCAUAGUCACCAUUCAACAAAUUUGAAUUUGAGACUGAAUCUUGUAGAUUAAAACUAUCACUAUUUGGUACUUGAACAGGUGAGGUCUGUUCAGCUUUGCUAUAUAAGUUUGAAAUCAGAUCAUUAAUGGAAAUGUUUGAAUCUGGACUUCUAUCAUUCUUUGAAUAAGAAGCAUUAUGGGGGACAAUGACAUCUUCAGUAUUAGUGGACUCAUCAACCUCCAGCUCUUCAUCCCCAAAUAUAGAUAAGGGAAGAGCCCCUUUAUGAUUCUCUAACUUUGACUCCUUCACCUGGUCUUUAUCGUCAGAUUCAGAAGCUUGGAGUUCAGAAUGAGCAACAUCACCCAGCUUCUGUUCUUCCUCUAAUUUCAAUCCAGAAUCUGAAGAUGCCGUGGUAAAUUCCCCAAAAUCCUCAUCGGAUUCAGCACUCCCAACAACUGGAUGAGGGUCCAGUGCACCAGUACUCUCUUUUUGCUCAUGUCUACCAUAUGUCGCGAAUAGACCAAUUGGUUGACUUGACAUGGUGAAUAAAUCCAUAGAACUAUUGCCGAAGCCAAAUGAAUCUGCCUGCAUGUGACCAGCAUGAUCUGCCUCUGAAUCAGAUGUUGCUGAUCCUUUUGAUGUUGCAAACAAGUCAACUGAGCCAUUCAAUCCAUUGUGAAAAUCGAAAGAGAAUGCACUACUUUCAUGCUCUUUUUUUGCCUCUGAUGUAGCCUUACUAUUACAAUCUCCAACUUUAGAAAUUGAGUAAGCAUCCUUGAACUCCCA